CCCACCUCCAGGAAGAAGCUUCAUGGCUUGCAAUUGAUCAUGUAGGGCCUGUCCACCAUUUUUCAUUGUUCCAGGCUUGGAGGGGUGGGGGAGCAGCAGCUUGUGUCUUGGAAUGCCAUUCCUAAGCCAUAACAAUGGGGUAAGCAUGAAGGAUAAAAAAAUAGACACUGCUAGAAGCAAAUUCACGGAGCUAUUUAAUGGAGAUGGGAAGUUUCGGCCUUUGUAUUGCUCAAAAUUUUCUAUGGCAUUCCUUAUUUUCAGGAAUUUCAAAUUUUGGCAAUAAAUUUUCAACAAAAAAAAAUCUUUAAACUUAUAUCUGGUUGAGGUCUGUUGUUUAAGUAUGCAACAACUUUUCCAAUACUCCAUUCCAGACUGAAAUCAGAUCAGAAAAGGCAGAAAAGAUUUGCUAUGCAAUAGCUUUACGAAUUUCUUCUCCGGUCUCAUCAGAUAGCUUGUCACUUCACACUCUGGAGCAGCAGCAAACUGAAAUGUGUCAACAAAGCUGCUUUUUGUGGUCCCUAGGAAAGAAACUACUGCCUCUGAACAAAACACAAACUAUUCUGGAAGAUUUCUCUUCUGACACGCAGUGUGGAAAUGGAUUUGACAACUAGAUGCUCCAAGAAGUCCCUCAGUGCCUGAAUGUGCCCUCGUUCAAAGCCACUGUGGUUAAUCAGGACAUUAAUAGGACCUGCAACAAUAGGACAAGGAGCAAAGGUUUUGAAUUAAAAGAGUUGCUUCCGACUAGAUGGAAGAAAAUAAAAAAAUAUAUUGAUAAUGAGGUGGUGAAGUCUCAAACAUGUUACCCAGAGAAGUGGUGGAUCCCCCACACCUGGGAACAGUCAGGCUAUCUUCAUCCAUACCCAACACAUCCAGCUUCAUCCAUAAUCAUCCUGGACCUCUCCUCAGGCCUGGAGAGAGCUUGGCUCAAAAUGGCCAUAAUUUUUCCUCUCCUCAUUCAGACAUGGAGAGCCAAGGAUAAAGAGGCAAAGAACUUACAACAUUAACAAGUUUUCAAAAAGAAAAACUGGCGAUGGGGAAAGAACAUCACAAAAAUGCCAGGCUUCUCUCACAAUGGUACUGGCUGCUUCCUUUUCUGUUGCCCUGUAUCCAGGCUCUGCUGAGGAGAGGGGAUGACUUCUGCUUGGCCUCUGUGGCAGGUCAGGCUGGUAACUUGGACACAGAAAGCACAGGAAGGGGCUUAAAUAAACAGAAUGGUCCUGUAAUAAUGGCUGGUAUGCUGCCUAAGACAGAAAUCUUCCAGUGCCUUGUGGUCCCACAGAAAUCUGUGAGGCAUGUAUAACACAAACAGCAGUGACAGCCUGGCUCUACACUGCAAGACAGGCCUUCAAAAGACCUCUCCAGAGAGUUAAAUACAGUCAACUUGGCAUUGAUUCAAUGGAUUUUUUUUUUAAUGCAAAAAGCAGGUUUCAGGACUGGAACAUAAUGUAAUUGUUUUGAAACCCAGUGCUGAAACAGUUAAUAUAUUCUGCAUUUCAGUCCAUCAUCCAACAGAAAUAGGUGAGGGAAACAGUUGUUGACCUUCAUUUAUCAACAUGAAUUUAAAUGGUUUUUAAUUUGUUCUCCACACAACAACUGGCAUUUGAGAGGAAAACAACAUGUGUCAAGAAUAUCUACCUGAAACACAUUUUAAAGAAAUGUAUAAAUUUGAGUUAUCAAGAAAAAGAAAAAUGUCAGGUCAAACUGAUAG